AUGUAUCUAUUUGACAGACCUGAAGCAGUUACUUUCUGCUGCUAAGGUUUCCACUACAGACACAAGAAAAAAGCGUCCUUAUGCUUUCCGUUUGAUUGUAGCAGACAAGAUUGAAUGGGGAAACACAGGA